CCCAGUGUGACUCGUCACACUAUCAUUAACUGAAUCCAUAGGUUAAUGAGGCGAACCGGGGGAACUGAAACAUCUAAGUACCCCGAGGAAAAGAAAUCAACCGAGAUUCCCCCAGUAGCGGCGAGCGAACGGGGAGGAGCCCAGAGCCUGAAUCAGCAUGUGUGUUAGUGGAAGCGUCUGGAAAGGCGCGCGAUACAGGGUGACAGCCCCGUACACAAAAGCGCAUGUGCUGUGAGCUCGAUGAGUAGGGCGGGACACGUGGUAUCCUGUCUGAAUAUGGGGGGACCAUCCUCCAAGGCUAAAUACUCCUGACUGACCGAUAGUGAACCAGUACCGUGAGGGAAAGGCGAAAAGAACCCCGGCGAGGGGAGUGAAAAAGAACCUGAAACCGUGUACGUACAAGCAGUGGGAGCACCCUUUGGGUGUGACUGCGUACCUUUUGUAUAAUGGGUCAGCGACUUAUAUUCUGUAGCAAGGUUAACCGAAUAGGGGAGCCGGAGGGAAACCGAGUCUUAAUUGGGCGUUAAGUUGCAGGGUAUAGACCCGAAACCCGGUGAUCUAGCCAUGGGCAGGUUGAAGGUUGGGUAACACUAACUGGAGGACCGAACCGACUAAUGUUGAAAAAUUAGCGGAUGACCUGUGGCUGGGGGUGAAAGGCCAAUCAAACCGGGAGAUAGCUGGUUCUCCCCGAAAGCUAUUUAGGUAGCGCCUCGUGAAUUCAUCUCCGGGGGUAGAGCACUGUUUCGGCUAGGGGGCCAUCCCGGCUUACCAACCCGAUGCAAACUGCGAAUACCGGAGAAUGUUAUCACGGGAGACACACGGCGGGUGCUAACGUCCGUCGUGAAGAGGGAAACAACCCAGACCGCCAGCUAAGGUCCCAAAGUCAUGGUUAAGUGGGAAACGAUGUGGGAAGGCCCAGACAGCCAGGAUGUUGGCUUAGAAGCAGCCAUCAUUUAAAGAAAGCGUAAUAGCUCACUGGUCGAGUCGGCCUGCGCGGAAGAUGUAACGGGGCUAAACCAUG
rnacentral:rRNA from 1 species